UACGGAGGGUGCGAGCGUUAUUCGGAAUUACUGGGCGUAAAGCGCGUGUAGGCGGGGAAGCAAGUCUGAUGUGAAAGCCCCGGGCUUAACCUAGGAAGUGCAUUGGAAACUGUUUUUCUUGAGUACUGGAGAGGAAGGGAGAAUUCCCGGUGUAGAGGUGAAAUUCGUAGAGAUCGGGGGGAACACCAGUGGCGAAGGCGCCCUUCUGGACGGUUACUGACGCUGAGACGCGAGAGCGUGGGGAGCAAACAGG
rnacentral:rRNA from 1 species